rnacentral:rRNA from 1 species
UACAGAGGUCUCAAGCGUUGUUCGGAUUCAUUGGGCGUAAAGGGUGCGUAGGUGGCGCCGUAAGUCGGGUGUGAAAUUUCGGAGCUUAACUCCGAAACUGCAUUCGAUACUGCGGUGCUUGAGGACUGGAGAGGAGACUGGAAUUCAUGGUGUAGCAGUGAAAUGCGUAGAUAUCUGGAGGAACACCGGUGGCGAAGGCGGCGUCCUGGACCAACACUGACACUGAUGAGCGAAAGCCAGGGGAGCAAACGGG